rnacentral:lncRNA from 1 species
CCCGGGGCCAGGGCGGAGGGGGCCGGCCGGGCGCGAGCGGCCGCGGGGCGAGGGAGGAGGGGGCGGGGGGAGCGGUACCCGAGCCCGGGAGAAGGACGGGAGGAAGGGGAAAGGGGAAGGGGAAGGAAAGAGAGAGAAAGAAAGAAGGUAGCGGCAGCGCGCACACUCUCACACCCCCGCUGGAAAAGUAAAUACAUCGCUGAAGCCAGAGGCGCGGGGGGGGGGGGGGAGGGGGGCGCUGGGCAAGCUGCCCUCGGGAGGGGCGGGGGGUAGACCGAAGGAAGCCAGCCAAGAGCGGGGACCACCCAAAAGGAAGGGGGACCCAUCCGGAGCCGGCGUCCCCACUCGCCCCCCUCCCCCCCAACCUCCGCGCCGCGGAAUCCCCUCCUCCCGGGAGCCGCGGCCUGGCCCCGAGGGACGACGGCGGCGGCCCCGCGGAGAGCCGAGGGGCGGCGGGGGCCUGGCCCGGCCUGAGGCAAACUUCGGCGGGGAGCGGCGUGCCGGCAGCCAGCCGCCUGCCCCGGAGCGGGGAGGGGGUGGGGGUGGCGGGAGGAGUUCCGCGAGCGGAGAAGCGGGAGGAGAAGGCGCGGGAGAGGAGGGAGCGGGGACACCGUCGCCUAGCCCCUCCGAGCCCAGCCCGCGGCAGCGAGCGGCGGCGCGGGGCAGCGGCUGCAGCUGGGAGAUGCGCAGCGCCGGCCACAAGUUCCCCGCCGCGCACCCGCGGCCGCCACCGGCACGGGGAGGGCUCAGGUUGCAGCAGGAACGGGCUUGGGAGCCGGGCGUGCCCGCACCGCCAGGCCGAGAGUACCCGCGCGCGGCACGGAGACGAAGCCGGAGAACGGAGGUGGCGGCUCGGACGGAGCGCAGGAGCGGCGCGGGGACCUGUUGACCGAGCGAGGCCAGCCCGUGCCGGAGCGGGACCCCGAGCCGAGGGCAGCCCGCCGCCGAGCCGAGCCGAGCCGGGAGCGGCGGGCAGCGAGGGGUCCGAUCGGCGCGAGGCGGGGAGGAGGCGCGGCGCCGGGGGAGCUCCAGGUGCUGCGCUCACGCUGCCCACAGGGCGGGCGAUCGUGUCCGUGCGGCCAUGUGCUCCGUGCGGAGCGCACAUAAAUAAGCGGGUGUGUGCGGCACAGGUAUGUUCAUACGAUUUGAUUUGUAUAUCGUGGAGCGUGUAAAGCUUUUCAAGGUAACUGCGGUGCAGAAGUAAUUACUUUAUUACCUCCGAAACGUUCUGCAGUUCGCAUUUAACAGUGCUCUGAAUAAUUACGAGUCAUUACGCAGCCGUGCGCUCUCCGAAGCCCGCGUACGGCGGCAUACCUGGCCGGGGCCGGUUCUGAUAAAUACCAGGCAGCGUUCCAUCGGUUUUCUUUAAAAACUCGCAGCGAGUUUAUCACUUAGUUAUACCUCAGCCCGCCGUCUCGCUGCACCGCGGCUGAGAUUCCAGCGGUGGCUGCCCCUGCCGCACCGUGAGACGCACUCGACAGCUGAUUGUACGGAUGCUCUCGGGAACGGCAGCGAGCGAGUCCUGCCGGCAGUGUGCCCUCAAUGCUGGCACGGAGUAACUGCGCGGGCGAAGCGGAGCCGUACCUCAGCUCAGCGCUCCCCUCGGCCGGACGGGCGCUGCUGUCGGCAUUGAUCACAAUAACGCGCACUGCCCGCCGCCCCCCGCGCUGCCGUUGUCAUGUGACGAGAGGGCGACAGCAGACCGAGAAAAGGCGUCGGGAGGCGUUCUUGGAGCGCCGUAUCCACGGGCUUUAUUAAAGCAGGUGGGUUUUUAUUUUGCUGUGUUUUCGUGGAAGGAGCGAGGCUGUUUAACGAGCAGCCGUGGACACAAAUAACUGUAUUUACAAGCCCUGACGCGGCUUUUGCCAGGCGAUAAAUCCUGACGCCGCGACCAUUAUUCGCCGUAGCCCAGGGCGCGCAGCCCCGUCCGUGCCCCACAACGAUGGAGCGCGGCUCCCCCGAGCCCUUCGGUGCGCGCCGGGUGUCAGCUCGCGGCCAGCAGUGUUUUGAAUGGGGGACUUUUCUCGGCGCUUCCUGCGGUGUGCUUCUGUGUCUGAUCUCCGCCUUUAAUGGCCGAGCCCUGGUUUAUGCUUUAUAACGUGUUGACAAGUUUUCUAACAGACUUUCUGAAAUAACGCACAUAUAUUCACGUCGGUUACAAACUCCACAGUAUUUUUAGCGCCGAGUAGAUCUAUAUCCUAAUGCACUGAGAGGGAGUGUAAAUCAUGGAGGAUUUCAUAGCCCCUUCAGUAGUUUUCUGUAUGAAGUACGAGCAGCGUGGCCUCCAGACGUAACCUUUUAGAAAAAAAGACAGCUCUUUUAUUUUAUGGUGUAAAGUGCUUUUAGCUUCAGGGCUCAGAACGUGAACGCGGUCAACAAACAGCUCCUGCGAGGGGCUUAGCUGCGGUGCGGCCCCUGCGCUUGUCGCUGCGCGGCUGUCGGGCGGCUCACGGGGCCGCCCCCGCCCCCUCCGCCCGCCCCGUGCCGGGCCCCGCCGGGCUGGGCACAGCCGCGCACGCCUCGCCCCGGGGAGGGGUUGCGGGGCCCCCGGCGUGGCCGGAGAGGCAGCGGUGGCGGGGGUCCCGCGGCAGCGGCCCCCGGGAAAGGGGGAGCUGGGGAGGGCCGCAGGCGCUGCCCUUCCUAGAGCAUCCCCUGUGCACUGCCCGAGCACGUGGCUCAUGGUCAGCCCGUACCUACGGCACAAAGCGAUGGCACUGCUCAGUCACGCUCGUGAACGCAGCACUUAAACACAGUUAAAAUUUUUCAAAGGCUACUAGUUCUGGAAAUGCGGCAGGCAGAAGGACGAGUGGGAACAAACCUGGGCAAAUGCUGAAGACAGCCUAGCAAAAGGGCUGCGAGGACUGGCGCACACUCAUGCGUCACCUCCCUCUCCACCACAGCCCUCCCCUGCCAUGCCAUCCUGCCACUGUGCCUCAUCCCAGCCAGCUCAUCCACUCCUUGGUACGGACUCCUGGCUCCAGAGCAGAGUUGGGAAAAUGUGCCUGAUUGUCCCAGCCGUGUGCAAGCAAGCCCAGAGUUGGUGCUGGAGCCUGGGCCAUAGGGUUGUCAUAUCCAACUGAGAGUGCACCAGCCUCAGUUAGAGGCUGUCUACGUGCUGCAGCCCCUCAACUGGCUCACAUCCUCAGACCAUCUCACAGACCAGAGCCCCAAGGCACCUGCCAAGAAUGUCUGUGUGCCUCCGGUACCUCAGCCCUGGGAACAGCAGCAUGGUCCUCCCUCCAGUGGAGCCUGGAGGCUGCUGUAUAAAGGGACUGCCUCAAAUGGGGAAGUGUGGUCUCCCUCCCUCUCACAGACAGGUGCAUUGUCCCUGUGUGGCGCUGAGGCCCAGAGGUACAGAGGAGUGUGAUGCAGCAUGUGCUGCAUGCUGCCAUCCCUGCCUGUCUGCUGAUUUAGCUGCAGACUUGGCAACAGGUGUGUUCAGGAACUUUGGUGGGCAAAUGUUCCCACUUCAGUGCUCCAACUGUCAUUCAUUCACGGCAGCAUUCUCACAUGCCAGCUCAGUAUGGAACAUUAGAACCAAACACAAAUUCCAAAACAAUGCCAGUCCUCCUGAGCCACGUGUUGCAUAACGGCCGGUAUCACAGGCACCCUCCUCAACGCAAUGAUAGCUUCAAUCAGGCAGAGGCACAGUGGGUAGAACUCUUAUCGCACCAGGCUGACUCCCCAGGAAUGCGCAGAGGACUCGCGCGUCCUAGAAAUCACAUAUAUGUUGGUACUGCAGGGUGAGGAAUGUGGGCGCACCACUUUCUCUUUUCUCCUUUUUUUGUUUGUUUGUUUUGUUUGUUUGUUUGUUAAAGGCUCAAAAUAAGCUCUGAUCCUGCAAGCACUUACUAGCAAGCAUAGCACACACAGCAGUGAGUCUGUGCAGGAUCACACACAUGAGCACCAGGUGACCGAAAGAUUUUGUUACAGGCUGCUCUAGGCAGGAUCCAGAACAAAGUGCUGAAUGUGGGGAGAAUUCUUCCACAGGUUACAGUGAGUUCUAGGUUGUCAGCCUGCCCCUGCUUGCACAGCGAUGGGCACAGUGGAGCCCUGAACCUUGACUGGACAGUGUAGGGAUGACCUUAAAAUGAAUGGCACAAAGCACUUGGGACGUAGACUCAGAUAGCAAACCCCUCCUCUAAGAGUACACAUCCCUGUGCUCAUGGGUAGGCAGGCGGGGAGGCACUAGUUACGGAGGAUGUCAGUAACAGCUUACCUUUAAUCUAAUGUUUCAUUUUGGCCAAACUCUGGUUUUAGUUUUCACUACUCCUGAAGUUACUUUACUAUUAGUUAUUUUGUAUUUUAUUUGUAUUUUCAUAUUUUUGUAAGUAAGCAUGUAACGUCUCCCUGUCAGCUUGUAUCCUAAGCUUCAAGCCAGGGCAAUUGAAGCAUUGGGGCUUUAGGAUCGACGUAUGAUGUGAAUCCAUACGGUCUUAAUUAUAGCAGCCAUGGUAUGAGGGAAGUAGCAGAGCUUUCAUUACUAAAGAGGCACAGUAGUUAAGGUCUGUCAGUGUUCCUGUUACAAUCCCCAUCUUGAAGAGGUUAUAACUUGGGCUGUGUAAAUUUGAUUGAGCUGAAACUUGGGACUCAAACUGUCAGUCCAUAUAGGGAAUUACCUUAUGAAUAAUUGGCUAACCCAUUGCUUGAUUCAGAGGCCUUUAUGAAAUGAUUUUAAUGGGUUUUAAUGUUUUUUUCUUUUACUGACAUCUAGGGUAUGAAUGUGGUACUUCUAGCUCUUUUGAAGCUCCAUAUUGAACAGCAUAUGUAUAGAUACAUGUGUUAAAACUAUACAGCAACACAGAGGUGUUCAUGGGGCACACGUAUCACUCUUACACAUCCACGUGUACACAUAUACAGACAGAGACCAUGGAGAAGUGUGACAAUCUAUCUCAGGAUAUGUAAGAUAAAUGCCUCAGGCAGAAGGGAACUAAAGAAUGUCCAUUGUGUCUGCUGUGUCCCUCAGUCCCAUGGCAACCCACAGUCAGACUUGCUCACACCACAGUGCUGGGAAAGGUGGGUGUUCCCCCAUCCAGCCACCCAAAGCAGUUCUGGUGCACUACAGAACAGUGAGCAGGUCACCUCCAUUAGCUAUAGAUGCAGUGAGGAUAGCAAGGGACAGGAAAAAAAUCUGUCUUUUUUGGGGGGGAUGGGGACUUACCAUUUUGGGCGGACAUUUUCUUUCCCCAGAACAUGUGGAAGUGAGUCCUAUGGGCACCUUGAUAUCGGAACAGUCAUCAUGACUACACUUCGAAAGGCAUCAGCCACUUGACUUUGAACACUGGGCUUUGUGUUACAAAGAAUUUUACUUAGAAUUGCUCUCUACAAUUUUACUCUAGAAUUGCUCUAACUUUCUGCUAGUUCCAAACCUCUGUGGCUCAGAGACACUUUUUAUCACUUCAGAUCACUCUAAGCCAGAGCAUGCACAUCUGGGAAAGGGUGCAAACUUCAAAUUUCCUUUGACCCUAGCAGAAAAUACUGGCAAGCCCAAGGCCAGCAAGAUGCCACAGACUGUGAACAGGUUGCUCUAGUGGAGCCAGACCCCAAAACAUUUCUCUGCCAACCCUGUGAAUGUUUGCAAAGCAUGAACACUAUCCUUUGAGACACUGCUGAGAUGCCAAGUCAUCCAUGUACCUAAGCAGGUCACUCUUUGAGCUUAUGUUAUUGACCCAGGUGUCUUUCUAAUUGGUUUUCUGACUUCAGCUGCUAAGUUUGGGGAGAUCCCCAGCUAGCCCAAGGCCAGGAAUUGUGGCCAGAUCAAGCCACAGGCAGGCAGGCAGGCAUAACCUGCUGGCACAGCAGACGUUGAGCUCAGGGAGGAUGAGCAUGCUGCAUUGGUAAAAAAAGGCUGAGCCAACCUCCCAGCAAACUGGUAAGGCUUGAAGCAGGAGGAAGCUGUGAGUCUGUCUCUUUGCAGCUGUGCUGUGGGGCUUGACCUGCAACUUUAAGAAUGGACAGCAGUCACUAGUGCCUGGCAUCAAAGCAUGCCAGCAAGAAAUUUGUUUCCUGGUUCCAGUUCACUGCAGCUGGAGUUAUUUACCUGGUACGUGACAGGCACUGGUGCCAGCAACCACUGUUCUGUAUGUAUGUAUGUAUCACUCCCACAAGUUAGCAUGAGUGCAUCUCAAGGUUUAAAAGCAAUGGCACACAAUCAUUUCAAACUGUCUGCUAAUUGGCAAGAAAGUACAGGUGAGCUGGGCAGAGUUGGUCUGCUCCUGGCCAAAUGAAAUACAUGGGGCAGCACCAAUCUUUUCAAACAGUGGUUGUUUAAGAUCAGCCUUCUCUCAGGAUCAUAACAAUAAGCUUUUCAUGCUUCCCGGAAAGAAUAGACCCAAGGGGCUCAAGGUCUUAUCACCCUUAACAGGAAGUAUAGAAAGCUCCACUCUGGAUGUAGUGGGCAGAAAGAGGUGAAAUGACAAACGUUUUGUCUUGGAAAAUAAAUCCAACUACACCUCCCAUCAAAUUAAAUAAUUCUAGGAUAAAACUAAUUCAUAAAACUGAGACACCCAAUACAAGUGUCAGUAAUAAAAAAUUAUCUAUAUAUAUAUUUCCAUUGAAGAAUUAGUUUUUGCUACACAAAAUGUGGAAAGAUUCAGUUCAUUCGCACACUCCCCGGCACAUUUGGCUUGAGUGACAGCAGGGAUAGAGGGAGAGUGCAGUGGGAAGGAUUUUUUUCUCUAAUGCUUCUCAGUGAAUCCCAGAUGGAUUCCCAGAGGAAUGUGCUUGGACUUGGGUACCAAAAAAUUCGUAAGCAUAUUUGGCACAUCAUUGUACUCCAAGUCUGCAGUAAGCAUGUGGCCAAGUGUUCUGUUAAACUGGUGUCCGAUUGUCUUUUGGAAAUAAUCUCUAUUAGGUAGGUUCUUUUAGUCACAAACAAUGCAUUUAACUGAAAUUUCACAUCAUAAUUCUCUAUAUUAAUUUUGUAUUACUGUUUUAGAUUACAUUUAGUUUUAGCCUUUAGUUUCAGCAAAGAAGAAAUACAUGUGCUAUCUAGAACGUGGUACCAUUGUGUGAGGCUCCAUCUAGAUGAAAAACAAAGAAUUUUUGAGAUAGAAGAGAUCUGCUGCAUUUAAAAACAAAAACAGCUUUGCUGUGGGUUUUUUUCUUUGCCAUAUUUAUCCUGUGCAACUCUGUGUGCAAAAUUUCAACUUAAUUGAAAUAUUUUAAUGCAACUCUGACUAUUAUAUAGCCCAAAGCUGCACAGAAAGAUGCUGUGCUGAGGCAUAGUGAGGGUGAUAGUGAAUAAAGCAUGAUACAAGCACACUUCUUUGAGCAGUUUGGAUAGUUUUGCCACCAUUUGUUAUUGUCAGCACAUAUAAUUUUUACAGUAUGGUAUGAAUUCUGACUGCAGUGAAAAGAAUGCCUUCCACUGCCUGUAUGAAUAAGAUUUCACUCAAUUAGAAUAAUAUGCAAGUGUAUCAUAUAGUAUUACACAGAAAGCUGAUGUGCAUUAAGUCUGAAUGCUGGGAGUUAUUGUGCUAAUACUAUUGUUUGGUGAGAAACUAUUUCCUGGCAGUGGGGAAAAAAAGAAAAAAAAAAAGCAAGGGAAAUUAAAUACAUAAAUCAAAAAUAUGCACAAUGUUUGAUAUUACCAUACUGAAAUUAAUGUAUUCAUAAUUUAAACUUUACUUUGCCCUAUUGUAUUGAGUUUCUGUAUACCUAUAGAGAAAUAAAUGUAAACACAAAGCAAGAGAUCCACAGACAGUGUGCUGAAACACAUUACUCAUUGCAGUGGUUGUGUCUGUGGGUAAAUGCAAGGGAAAUACAGGCUGUGUCGUGUUGCCAGGCAUACAGACUGUUUCCUACCUGUGUCAGUGAGAAGUUUGGUCUGAGUGUUGCAGUAGUGAUGCAAUCUGCUGCGAUCACGCACUCCUCGAUACCCCACCAACGUGGUGCUCUGCGAUCACACGCUCCUUUACACCCCAGCAACGUGGGGCACUGCGAUCACACACUCCUCAGCACCGCAAUGAUGUGUCCGGGGGAUGAGGAGCUGCGGAGCUCCUGGCACUGCAGUUCUGCUGCCCGGAGCUGAAGGUGCCCGAUGCACAGGAUGGGCACACAGCUGCGACCGUUCCUGCGAGAAAGGUCAAAAGUGCCUGGGAGCUGAGGUGUGCCUCAGACAGCCGUUGUACUUAGAGCCAAUAAACGUGAAACUCUACUCUACUGAGACCUAAUUAGCUUUUAUAUUCAAAGCCGUACUGCACUUUUGCACGUUGCUUAUGUGUGGGACUGAAAAAUACACGUACUGUGACACUACACUUUUAAAGUGUUCAUUGAAUGCCUUUCCAAUUCUCCCAGGAUUGUCUCCUCUUUAGAUGUGAGCUUUCGGUGAAUACGACGAGACUGCUUGUUUUCCCCCGCAAUGAUCACUGCGUUUCUCAAGCAGUUUGCACCUACUUACGGACCUCGCAUCUUCAGCCUUGGAUCUUAAAGGAACUGAUAACUCCUCUUCCAGAAAACUGUUCGGUAACAGGUUUCCUGCCCCGGGCUUUACAAGGAUCGCUCUUGUCUCAGAGCCACCGUGUUUGAUUGCCGGAAAAGGCUGACUACUAGAAUAGCAAAACCAGUCCGCCAUCCAGCAGUUGGGAAUCAAGGCCCUUCUUUACCAGAGCCCCAGCCACAUCCAUACUGUCACCCACCUUCCAGACACUCGGCACAACCAUUCACCCUAUUGAAUCAUGAGACUGUUUGAUCUUAUCUGCAUCUGUGAGCUGACUGUCAACCUGCUUACACUGCAUAUUAAAUCAUCUAUAGUAGCUGUAUCAAGCUGGGAUGAUCUGUUAAUUCUAAAUUUACUAACCCUUCGAGUGCAGUCGUUGUGUUUAAUCUAGUGUAGCCAGCAUUUAUUUUACAAGUCUAAAUCCUUCUUCAAGAUAUGUCUGUGCUGUAGGUUAAAAAAUCAUUAAUGUGUAGGAGAUGGUAAUUGGGAAGAGUUCACUUUGAUCUUUGGAAGCCAGUUGACAGCUUCACUGCUCCAAACACAUACGUGUGUGCUCUCACCACUCUCGCGUGCCCGGCGUGCUGGAUGUGUGCAUGCAUACGCACCUAAUGACACUUCCUUGCAGAAAGAGUUUUGCAUGAGACAAGGAAGAAGAGAGGCCUCAGACAAUGCCUUCAUUCCACGUCUCCAUGAAGACUUAUAAUCGAGAGGCAAAUUCCUGGUGCUGCAGCGCAGUGAGAGCAUGUGGCUGCAGGCAGAGCCCUGCGCCAGGAGGGCCAACAAACCUCCCUUCGAGGCAGCACCCAGCUUGAUGAAUGCCUGCAGCCAUUGCCAGCACCGGACAUCCCCACACACUGAGGACCACAGCCCCUGCCAGGCUUGAGAAAGGUCAAGUGCUGCUGUCCGCACCUCAACCAGCGUGCCCCCUCCUAGACACAGAUACAUACACAAAAAAUUGCAUGCAGAUAUGUACAUACAUCUAAAUAUGUUAAUCUGUUCACUGUACACACCCAUCUCUCCCUGUCCCACUCUCCUGUUAUCUAUUAUUCUUGCACGCUGCUGAUGGCAUCAACAUAUUCACAGCUUUUAUUUCAGUCACAAACUGGUAGGCAUGCUUCCUUUUUUGGUAAUCACAUGCCUGGUAUCUCUCUAAUGUAGCCUAAUAACAAUUUUAGCAUUCAGAUAAAAAGAUUUCAUUCUGUGAUUGCCUUUUCUAUUAGAUUUGAUUCUGAGAAGCCCCAGUGGGUGCCUCCGAGGCAGAGAUCUAUCUGUGAGGCUGCAACCGAUUCAAUAGCAGCCUGAGCUAACCUUGACCUUUCCCUAGACCCUACUCCAUCUGGUGCCAGCCUGGUCCCCCCCUUCUCCUCCUCCUUGCUUCACAGGCAGCAUUGAUCAAGACGAAAUCGAGCGGCUCUCUCCCUCGGAGGGCUGGGCAGUCACAGGAAGGACAGCACAUUUCACUAUAUGGAGACAACUGAGCUUCUUAUGCAAUCAUAUAUCUACAUAGAGGCUUCUGAUUUGAUAUUUCCUUCACUUCCUAAGGUUCUCCCCUCCCUCCCCCAGCAGGGAUUUAUAAACUAUAAGACAACCGCUUUCCCCAACACCUGGAAAUUAUAAAGCUGGCUGUUGGGAACGCAUCCUGGCGAUUUGAUCUGAUUUACUUGGCUUCUUAUUUAUUUCCUUGCAGCUCGCUCCAUCUUUUUCCUGCGUCCGUGGUUCUGUAUCUCUGUCUCUUCUUUCUGUUAUUUUCCCCUGUUCGGCGGCGGCCUUUAUUCAUCUCCUCGGGGAUGCCGGGUGCCGCUGUGGGUAGGCUGGAGGGGCCAGCUGGUGGCUGGCCGGCUCGGGAGGACCGGCUCCCUCCGAACCCCGGCACCGACUGUCGGCUCUCUCGGCCGCGUUUCUCUGUCUGGAAAUGAGAAGAGGCUCCCGCGAUCAAUCGGCACUCAGCACUUCGUGCUUCGUGUUCUUCCCCUCUUCUCCGCUCUGCCGCUGCACCUGGCCCCCAGCACUGCCUGGCCCCCAGAGCUCAAGCGGAAUUGCGCCGUGCCCCACGGCCCCGCACCGCCCCACGGCCCCGCGCAGCCCCGCGCCGCUCGCCGAGGCGUUCCGACGCGCUCCCGCCCCCGUUCCCUCUUCGGCAGCAGCCGCGCUGGGGUUCGCCUCGCGGACAACCGCCGCGUCCGCGCUCUCAUCUCCUCUCAUCUCCGUGUGGGUUCCUUAAUUGCCAGGACGUUCGUUUACAAUCCGCGAUCUGCUUUUUCUUCCCAAGAAUUGUAGCAUGACCGCGUUUUCUCAUCUCACACCAGUCUUCAGAUUAUAUAACAGAUGAUGCAAAAUUAUAAUGACGAUCUAAUCUAUGCACACUGUAAUUAUAGAGUUUCCUGCACACACACAGCUCUUGCAGUAUCUGCAGAGCUGACAACUGGCUGUAGAUGCAGAGUACAAAAGAUAGAGACUGAUAUUUGGACCCACAUAUGUUUAAGAGAGAGAUAUUACUUAAUGGGAGAAGGGAUCUGGAAAUGCAUUUCUCUUUCUUCUGAGGAAUUUGUUUUGCUUUAUCUCCAUCGGUUGUAAUAGGAAGAAACUGUGAAUUACGCUGAAAAAAAAAAAAGACAUAUACUCAAUUUAUCAGUUUACUAUUACAUUUCCUAUCUCCAGUGUUACAAAGAUUUAGAACAUUUCCAAAACUUUUGGAUCUAAUCUGUGUUUUGUGCAGCCUACAGUUUGUUUGCAGGACCUGCCACCACACGCCAGCCAAAAAUGAGUGUCAAUUAAUAACAAAAAACUCCCUUCCUUCCUUAUUUCUGCACUCUCAUACCUUAACGGAUAAAACUACUGAUGGUGAGAAUUUUCCAUUACCAACAGUUUUUAUUCUAAAGCACCAAAGCUUCCCCACAUAGAGCUGCUGAAUAUUUCCUUGCUUUUCCCAGUGGCAAUUUACGCACACCACUGCUCAUUUGAAAUAUAAAGAAUAUUCAGCACUUUCAGGAGUGUUUUUUCUGCUACCCAGAUCAGCCAGUAGAACCAAUUGCAAAUCCAGUGACUGCACUGUGCUGUUUGUGGCGUUCCAAAUUAGAAAUCAUUUGAAACCAGAAGUAGGAGGGUUUGUUGGUUUUGUCUUUUUUUUUUCUACUGUUUUCUACAACGUCAGAAGUAACUGAAAAAACAUUCACCCUUGUGACACAACAGAAUUUAUGAGCUCUUUUCUUUCUGAGCUACCUGAGCAGUCCUGUCAUCCCUGCAGAAAUGCCCAUGUGUGGGUUGCUGUUUAAAACCGUAUUCUACUUAUCAAUAAAAUGUGAAAUGGCU